UCCAAUCCAAGAAAAGCACAGUCUCUCUACUGAGCCUGGGGACAGCUACUGGAAUAAGAAAAUGCAAAGCAGUCACUAGAACAACAGAACCUCUGAACUCAGCAACUGAAAUUCUCAAUUACAGACGUGCUGCUGUUUCUCCUUCCUCACCACGGCUCUUUAGCUUGAUCACUGCCGCAGCCCCGGUGGGAGGAACGGUGUGAGGGAUGCGGUGCCACGCACGCUCCGACAGCCGAAUCAAAGGCCCAGCCAAGCCUGCGCCUCAGCUCGAGUCUGGAGGAAAUCAGAGACCCUCAUUAAUGUUUCAGAAAAACCUAACUGGAACUGGCUCCUCCUGGUUUGUGCCUGGGGUAAGAGGCUCAGAGACCAUCCUGACAUCACUGUGGUCACAGCUUCACCAGGCUGGCACACUGCAAGAUUACGUCACCUGAAAUCUUGGCUCCUGGAAAGAGAAUUCUCUGUUUGAGAUGAGUAAUAGGUUGAGUAUGGUAUGUGACGGCACUCUAGACUCUGAAGAAAUAACAUGGACAAAUACCUCGUCGAAGGGCCGGCAUCUGAGCACACCCCAG